CUCUCGCAUCGAUGAAGAACGCAGCGAAAUGCGAUAAGUAAUGUGAAUGCAGAAAUUCAGUGAAUCAUCGAAUCUUUGAACGCACCUUGCGCUCCUUGGUAUUCCUCGGAGCAUGCCUGUUUGAGUAUCAUGAAAUCCUCAAAAUAAAUCUUUUGUUCAUUCGAUUGAUUUUAUUUUGGACUUGGAGGUCUUGCAGAUUCACGUCUGCUCCUCUUAAAUUUAUCAGCUGGAUCUCCGUGAACUCGGUUCCACUCGGCGUGAUAAGUAUCACUCGCUGAGGACACCGUAAAAAGUGGCCGGGGUUGCUGUAGAACCGCUUCUAAUAGUCUAUUGAAUUAGACAAUCUAUUUAUGAUCUGAUCUCAAACCAGGUAGGACUACCCGCCGAACUUGAGCAUAUCAAUAAGCGGAGGA
rnacentral:rRNA from 1 species